UGAGGAAUAUUGCGCAAUGGAGGCAACUCUGACGCAGCCAUGCCGCGUGCAGGAAGAAGGCGCUACGCGUUGUAAACUGCUUUUAACCGGGAAGAAACCCCAGGACGUGUCCUGGGUUGACGGUACCGGAGGAAUAAGCACCGGCUAACUUCGUGCCAGCAGCCGCGGUAAUACGAAGGGUGCAAGCGUUAUCCGGAUUCAUUGGGUUUAAAGGGUGCGUAGGUGGGGCGUUAAGUCAGUGGUGAAAGCCCGCAGCUCAACUGUGGAAUUGCCAUUGAUACUGGCGCUCUUGAGUGCGCUUGAAGUAGGCGGAAUGUGCCGUGUAGCGGUGAAAUGCUUAGAUAUGGCACAGAACACCAAUUGCGAAGGCAGCUUACUAAGGCGAUACUGACGCUGAGGCACGAAAGCGUGGGGAUCAAACAGG
rnacentral:rRNA from 1 species